UUCCCGGCAAGCGGAAUGGAUUAAGAGCUUUGCUCUUAUGAAGUUAGCGGCGGACGCGGUGAGUAACACGUGGGUAACCUGCCCAUAAGACUGGGAUAACUCCGGGAAACCGGGGCUAAUACCGGAUAACAUUUUGAACUGCAUGGUUCGAAAUUGAAAGGCGGCUUCGGCUGUCACUUAUGGAUGGACCCGCGUCGCAUUAGCUAGUUGGUGAGGUAACGGCUCACCAAGGCAACGAUGCGUAGCCGACCUGAGAGGGUGAUCGGCCACACUGGGACUGAGACACGGCCCAGACUCCUACGGGAGGCAGCAGUAGGGAAUCUUCCGCAAUGGACGAAAGUCUGACGGAGCAACGCCGCGUGAGUGAUGAAGGCUUUCGGGUCGUAAAACUCUGUUGUUAGGGAAGAACAAGUGCUAGUUGAAUAAGCUGGCACCUUGACGGUACCUAACCAGAAAGCCACGGCUAACUACGUGCCAGCAGCCGCGGUAAUACGUAGGUGGCAAGCGUUAUCCGGAAUUAUUGGGCGUAAAGCGCGCGCAGGUGGUUUCUUAAGUCUGAUGUGAAAGCCCACGGCUCAACCGUGGAGGGUCAUUGGAAAACUGGGAGACUUUGAGUGCAGAAGAGGAAAAGUGGAAUUUCCAUGUGUAGCGGUGAAAUGCGUAUAGAUAUGGAGGGAAC
rnacentral:rRNA from 1 species